rnacentral:rRNA from 1 species
AACAGGAUUAGAUACCCUGGUAGUCCAUGCCGUAAACGUUGGGCGCUAGAUGUGGGGACCAUUCCACGGUUUCCGUGUCGCAGCUAACGCAUUAAGCGCCCCGCCUGGGGAGUACGGCCGCAAGGCUAAAACUCAAAGGAAUUGACGGGGGCCCGCACAAGCGGCGGAGCAUGCGGAUUAAUUCGAUGCAACGCGAAGAACCUUACCAAGGCUUGACAUAUACGAGAACGCUGCAGAAAUGUAGAACUCUUUGGACACUCGUAUACAGGUGGUGCAUGGUUGUCGUCAGCUCGUGUCGUGAGAUGUUGGGUUAAGUCCCGCAACGAGCGCAACCCUCGUUCUAUGUUGCCAGCACGUAAUGGUGGGAACUCAUAGGAGACUGCCGGGGUCAACUCGGAGGAAGGUGGGGAUGACGUCAAAUCAUCAUGCCCCUUAUGUCUUGGGCUUCACGCAUGCUACAAUGGCCAGUACAAAGGGCUGCAAUACCGCAAGGUGGAGCGAAUCCCAAAAAGCUGGUCUCAGUUCGGAUUGAGGUCUGCAACUCGACCUCAUGAAGUCGGAGUCGCUAGUAAUCGCAGAUCAGCAACGCUGCGGUGAAUACGUUCCCGGGCCUUGUACACACCGCCCGUCAAGUCAUGAAAGUCGGUAACACCCGAAGCCGGUGGCCCAACCCUUGUGGAGGGAGCCGUCGAAGGUGGGAUCGGUAAUUAGGACUAAGUCGUAACAAGGUAACC